CCUAUUACAAAAAGAGGAGGAUCUGAUGUUUACAAACUGCGCUAGACAACAUUAAGUAACAGCUGGGUGGGCUUCAGCUUGCUUCAAUUCUACCAGGUGAAGGGAGAUUUCGUUUUCAAAUAACCAGUGGCUCCCAAAACAGCUAUUCAUUUGGCAGCCUCCGCACAAGGAAAGUGAAGCACAGAUCACCCCGUGUCCCCGGGAACAUCCGUCUUCGCGGAUUUCACAGAUCAACCUGCUUCAGCCAGUGCUGCCAGGUACCCCCAACGCCCCGUGAUGCAGGCUGUCCUGUCCAAACUGGAGGCCAAAGGAAGCUCCUUCCGUCCCUAACCGUUUAUGAUCAGAUAAGCCCCCAAGUGACGUUUUGGAUGUGACUUCAGAAGACCAGAACGGAUUCAAUGGGGGUUGAUGCUGAGGAGAACAAGGCCACGUCUGCACAGUCAGCGCCCGGCACGUCUUGUACGUGGAUGUCGGUGGGUGCCAGCUCUGCGCAGGGUGCUCGCCGGGGCCGACCCUGCAGUGCCCGCACACUGCUAGCAGCCUCCUGAAAAUCAGCUUGUUAUAAGACUGUGGAGUCUGCCAAUGGGCUGAUGUUUGGGGAAAAAUAAAUGUUGCCUUCUGUCUGCAUCAGUUAUAAA